AUACGUAGGUGACAAGCGUUAUCCGGAUUUACUGGGUGUAAAGGGCGUGUAGGCGGUUUAGCAAGUCAGAAGUGAAAUUCCCGGGCUUAACUUGGGCGCUGCUUCCGAAACUGCUUUACUUGAGUGCUGGAGAGGAUAGUGGAAUUCCUAGUGUAGCGGUAAAAUGCACAGAUAUUAGGAGGAACACCGGUGGCGAAGGCGUCUAUCUGGACAGUAACUGACGCUGAGGCGCAAAAGCACGGGGAGCAAACAGGAUUAGAUACCCUGUUGGUCCGGGCCGUAAACGAUGAAUGCUAGGUGUUGGGGGGCAAAGCCCUUCGGUGCCGCCGCAAACGCAGUAAGCAUUCCACCUGGGGAGUACGUUCGCAAGAAUGAAACUCAAAGGAAUUGACGGGG
rnacentral:rRNA from 1 species